AGUGAACGCUGGCGGUAGGCCUAACACAUGCAAGUCGAACGGCAGCACAGUAAGAGCUUGCUCUUACGGGUGGCGAGUGGCGGACGGGUGAGGAAUACAUCGGAAUCUACUUUUUCGUGGGGGAUAACGUAGGGAAACUUACGCUAAUACCGCAUACGACCUACGGGUGAAAGCGGGGGAUCUUCGGACCUUGCGCGAUUGAAUGCGCCGAUGUCGGAUUAGCUAGUUGGCGGGGUAAAGGCCCACCAAGGCGACGAUCCGUAGCUGGUCUGAGAGGAUGAUCAGCCACACUGGAACUGAGACACGGUCCAGACGCCUACGGGAGGCAGCAGUGGGGAAUAUUGGACAAAGGGCGCAAGCCUGAUCCAGCCAUACCGCGUGGGUGAAGAAGGCCUUCGGGUUGUAAAGCCCUUUUGUUGGGAAAGAAAAGCAGCAGGUUAAUACCCCGCUGUUCUGACGGUACCCAAAGAAUAAGCACCGGCUAACUUCGUG
rnacentral:rRNA from 1 species